GAGAAUAUAGCUCAGUGGUAGAGUACAUGCUUUGCAUGUACAAGGGCCUGGGUUCAAUCCCCAGUACCUCCA
rfam:Camelus ferus unplaced genomic scaffold scaffold1683, whole genome shotgun sequence.